GGGGGGAUGGCGCAGUGGUGAAGCGCCUGGAAAGCUUCUGUCUCACGUCAGCAAAAGUCGAAGGUCCGAAUCCUUCUCUCCUCA
rnacentral:tRNA from 1 species